CUUAACACUUGUGAAUGUAAAGAAUCGUUAAGUAAUCGAUGAAGUAACCUCUCUUAUAGUAAUGAAGGAGAUACAGAGAACAAUUGAUUGCGAUUGCAAUUCACUUUUUCUUAAAUGCACGCGAGUGCAUAAUAAUAGUUUUUUUCUUUCAAGCCAAGUCAUGCAACUCAAAAGCUAUAUUGGUAUAUAAAUUAAUUUAUUAAAAAUGAAAUAAGAAUUCACAAAUUUAUCAAUAAGCUAUUACUACAAAAUUAGAAGUCGUUGCGUUUAAAAUAAUGGGAAUAAAGGUGGCAGUCAUGGAAUGUGUUUUGUUUUUAAACGUACGUUCUUACGUUCGGGAUACUUAUCUUCGUCAGCUUUAUCUUAAGGAUUAGCAGAAAUAUGGACUACACAUAAACUUUUUUUACAGGUAAUAACAUCAAAACAUGCAGAAAGACCUUUUGAUAGUGUUUUUUU